rnacentral:rRNA from 1 species
UACGUAGGGUGCGAGCGUUAAUCGGAAUUACUGGGCGUAAAGCGUGCGCGGGCGGUUACAUAAGACAGAUGUGAAAUCCCCGGGCUCAACCUGGGAACUGCGUUUGUGACUGUGUGACUAGAGUACGGCAGAGGGGGGUGGAAUUCCUGGUGUAGCAGUGAAAUGCGUAGAUAUCAGGAGGAACAUCGAUGGCGAAGGCAGCCCCCUGGGCCUGUACUGACGCUCAUGCACGAAAGCGUGGGGAGCAAACAGG